rnacentral:rRNA from 1 species
UACAGAGGUGGCAAGCGUUGUUCGGAAUUACUGGGCGUAAAGGGCGCGUAGGCGGCCUUCUAAGUCGGACGUGAAAUCCCCAGGCUUAACUUGGGAACUGCGUCCGAUACUGGAGGGCUCGAGUGCGGGAGAGGGAUGUGGAAUUCCAGGUGUAGCGGUGAAAUGCGUAGAUAUCUGGAGGAACACCGGUGGCGAAGGCGGCAUCCUGGACCGACACUGACGCUGAUGCGCGAAAGCCAGGGGAGCAAACG